rnacentral:rRNA from 1 species
CCUACGGGAGGCUGCAGUGGGGAAUAUUGGACAAUGGGGGGAACCCUGAUCCAGCCAUGCCGCGUGUGUGAAGAAGGCCCUCGGGUUGUAAAGCACUUUCAGUGAGGAAGAACGCCUGGUGGUUAAUACCCAUCAGGAAAGACAUCACUCACAGAAGAAGCACCGGCUAACUCCGUGCCAGCAGCCGCGGUAAUACGGAGGGUGCGAGCGUUAAUCGGAAUUACUGGGCGUAAAGCGCGCGUAGGUGGCUUGAUAAGCCGGUUGUGAAAGCCCCGGGCUCAACCUGGGAACGGCAUCCGGAACUGUCAAGCUAGAGUGCAGGAGAGGAAGGUAGAAUUCCCGGUGUAGCGGUGAAAUGCGUAGAGAUCGGGAGGAAUACCAGUGGCGAAGGCGGCCUUCUGGACUGCCACUGACACUGAGGUGCGAAAGCGUGGGUAGCAAACAGGAUUAGAUACCCUUGUAGUC